GACGAACGCUGGCGGCGUGCCUAAUACAUGCAAGUAGGACGCAGUUGCGAACGGGUGAGUAACGCGUCGGUAACUGCCUAUUAGAGGGGGAUAACUAUUGGAAACGAUAGCUAAUACCGCAUACUAGUAGAUGGACCUGCGUUGUAUUAGCUAGUAGGUAGGGUAAUGGCCUACCUAGGCGACGAUACAUAGCCGAACUGAGCGGGGGAGCGGGCACACUGGGACUGGGACAAGGCCCAGACUCCUACGGGAGGCAGCAGUAGGGAAUCUUCGGCAAUGGGAGGAACCCUGACCGAGCAACGCCGCGUGAGUGAAGAAGGUUUUCGGAUCGUAAAGCGCUGUUGGUAAGGAAGCGGUACUUAACCAGAAAGGGACGGCUAACUACGUGCCAGCAGCCGCGGUAAUUC
rnacentral:rRNA from 1 species